rnacentral:lncRNA from 1 species
CGCCAUUGUGUGAGAAGAAAAGACUGUGCAGAAGUUUUAGUACCGGAGCCUUCUUUGAAAACGUGCAACUUUGUGAUAUGACAUGUCUGUAUAUACCUGAGCAGCAUACAGCUUAUUACUGCAGAAAAGAAACAUAUAAAGAUAAUUCUGAAUCAGGUUAUGUGCCAGCAUUAGCAAAGAUUUCCUAAUGAAGAUGUUAUCUUAGUAAUGGCAGUCACACACC